ACGACAGCGCGGAGUGGAGAGUGGAGAACCAAGCCGUAGCUCCGGCGAAGCUUCAGCUACGAUCGAUCAUCGAUCGAUGCCGCUGCCGCCAGAGAUGCCGCUGGGUCUCCCCUUCACCGUCGACACAUGGGGCCCAUCCCGCCGCUACCGGCGCCACCGCUUCAUCACCCACGCGCACACGGACCACAUUGCCGAUGCCUGGGCCGGCCCCGGGGACACCGUCUACGCCACCCAGCUCACCAUGCGCCUCGCCCUCCAACGCCAUCCCCAGCUGGAGCGGGGUAAGUUUGUGGAAAUGGAGGUGGGAAAGAGGUGGGUGGUGGACGACCCUGACGGCGCCUUUUCCGUCACCGCCUACGAUGCCAAUCACUGCGCUGUUUGUGGCGGUCCUUCGAUGAUGCGGCAUUUGUGGUCAGGUGGAAUGUGUUCAUGUUGAGAUAAAUAGAGAUAGUGGAGAUCAACUAAUAAUGUAAAACUUUUUUACAUGCAUGUUGAGAUGGGCUUUUAAUGAUGCGGCAUGUGUGCAUGUUGAGAUAAAUAGAAGUAGUGAGGUUCGACUAAUCAGGAGCGGUUAUGUUGCUGUUCGAGGGUCCAUUUGGUACCAUACUGCACACGGGGGACUGUCGGCUCACAUCACAUUGUGUACGGAAAUUGCUACUGAAAUUGGAAGCAAAUCUUUGCCCGUUGGACACUGUGUACUUGGACUUGACAUUUCCCAAAUUUCUCGAGUUUCCGAGCAAGGAGUCGGCGAUUCAGCAGGUUAUAGCUUGCAUAUCGAAGCAUUCACGUGCACCUUUCAUUUAUCUCGGAUGUCAAAGACUUGGCCAAGAAGAGAUCUUAAAAGAGGUGUCAAGGUCAUUUAGAUCGAAAACUAUGUUGAUAAGGGACUGUACUUGGAUUGUUUUAACACAUUGUCACACAUUGUCCCUGAAAUAAUCACUGAUGAUCCAACUAGUCGCUUCCAGGUACUGCCAGUUCAAUCCAAGGAGCUAAAUAAGAUAGCAACCGAGAAGCUCGAAGAGGCAAGGGCUAGCGAUCAGCCAGAACCUUUAUUUAUUCGUCCUUCAGCAUGGCGGUAUUCCAAUGCUUAUGUUCAAAACCGGAAACCCAGCCUAACAGAAGCUGAGCAGGAUGGUAAUGUAUGGCGUGUUUGUUUCUCCAAUCACUCCUCUGGUAAUGAAUUAGAGCCGGCACUGCAACUCCUCCAGCCUCAAUGGGUCGUUUCAACCACUCCCCCAAAUUUGGCGAGUGAACUGAGUUAUGUAAGGAGACGCUAUUUAUCACACACAACACAGGGACAUGCGCCAUCAAGCAUCUGUUUCCGCACAACAUCCCUAUGUCCGGUUGAGGCAGACUAUGAUAAUUUUAUUCGAGGGAAGGAAGACUAUGAAUAUUUUAUUCGAGGGAUACCGUCUCAAGGGCAGAGAAGCCCUAGAGUUGUGCAGAUAGAAGAAACAUGGGUGGACCAUAGGACAUUUGGACUAUCAAUGGGUGUGAACGGUUAUAUAUCAAAAAAUGUUAUCAACAUGAUGUGCAAAGCUAUCAUGUCAGAACAGCGUGAUGCACAUUUCUUGAAGCAUGUUUUUAAUUCCGAGCUUGGAAAAAUGCUUCAAGACCCCUCCACAUGCCGAGAAAGCAUUUCAAACUACCUACCUAAGCCCAAUCAGGGAUUCAAACCCAAAAACAUGGAUGCAGUUUUUGUACCAUUGCUAAAUUGCAAGACUUGGUACCUACUUGUAGCAAAUUUUUGGAAGAGACGGUUCGAGGUAUUGAGUCCAAUGGGGUGCACUGACAAAUUGAUAACACAAGCACAGUUUAUUGUAUGCAACUUUCGGGAAGCUUUUCAUAGUGCAUAUCCUCAGCUCCAUACCGUAAUAAUCAAAGACAUGGAUAUUACCUUCCAUACCAUAUCAAACUCACACAACGAGUUGAGUUUUACGCUCAAAUAUUUAAUGCAAUAUAGCACAUUUUUUCCAAAUCUUCACCAUUUCUCUUAAAUGUUAAAUGGAUUAUUUUACGACCUAAUUUAACCAUGCCCCUCCCCUUUCCUUUUCUUUAUCUAAUUUGUAGAUCCAAUAGUGGUAUAUUUAUCAUGAAGACACUAGAUUUAUACGAUGGAGAGAAACAUAUCUUCUUUAACGAUUCUGACGCCAAAGGACUCCGUGAACACUUGGCAUUAUAUUUGUUGCACCACAAGUAUAAUGAGAUGCCCCACAGACAUGUACAAGGUCUAGUGGGCCCCUAAAGUCAACCGCCCGAUUGUAAAAUUACGACUUCAUGAAGGUGAUCCAGAUUAUGUUUUUUACCAUCUACGAGGAAUGCUGCCAAGAAAGUUUAUGAAUGUAUCAUUUGAAAUUGUCCA